ACUAAGCGUACACGGUGGAUGCCCUGGCAGUCAGAGGCGAUGAAGGACGUGCUAAUCUGCGAUAAGCGUCGGUGAGGUGAUAUGAACCGUUAUAACCGGCGAUUUCCGAAUGGGGAAACCCAGUGUGUUUCGACACACUAUCAUUAACUGAAUCCAUAGGUUAAUGAGGCGAACCGGGGGAACUGAAACAUCUAAGUACCCCGAGGAAAAGAAAUCAACCGAGAUUCCCCCAGUAGCGGCGAGCGAACGGGGAGGAGCCCAGAGCCUGAAUCAGUGUGUGUGUUAGUGGAAGCGUCUGGAAAGGCGCGCGAUACAGGGUGACAGCCCCGUACACAAAAAUGCACAUAUUGUGAGCUCGAUGAGUAGGGCGGGACACGUGGUAUCCUGUCUGAAUAUGGGGGGACCAUCCUCCAAGGCUAAAUACUCCUGACUGACCGAUAGUGAACCAGUACCGUGAGGGAAAGGCGAAAAGAACCCCGGCGAGGGGAGUGAAAAAGAACCUGAAACCGUGUACGUACAAGCAGUGGGAGCCUCUUUAUGGGGUGACUGCGUACCUUUUGUAUAAUGGGUCAGCGACUUAUAUUCUGUAGCAAGGUUAACCGAAUAGGGGAGCCGAAGGGAAACCGAGUCUUAACUGGGCGUUAAGUUGCAGGGUAUAGACCCGAAACCCGGUGAUCUAGCCAUGGGCAGGUUGAAGGUUGGGUAACACUAACUGGAGGACCGAACCGACUAAUGUUGAAAAAUUAGCGGAUGACUUGUGGCUGGGGGUGAAAGGCCAAUCAAACCGGGAGAUAGCUGGUUCUCCCCGAAAGCUAUUUAGGUAGCGCCUCGUGAAUUCAUCUCCGGGGGUAGAGCACUGUUUCGGCAAGGGGGUCAUCCCGACUUACCAACCCGAUGCAAACUGCGAAUACCGGAGAAUGUUAUCACGGGAGACACACGGCGGGUGCUAACGUCCGUCGUGAAGAGGGAAACAACCCAGACCGCCAGCUAAGGUCCCAAAGUCAUGGUUAAGUGGGAAACGAUGUGGGAAGGCCCAGACAGCCAGGAUGUUGGCUUAGAAGCAGCCAUCAUUUAAAGAAAGCGUAAUAGCUCACUGGUCGAGUCGGCCUGCGCGGAAGAUGUAACGGGGCUAAACCAUGCACCGAAGCUGCGGCAGCGACGCUUAUGCGUUGUUGGGUAGGGGAGCGUUCUGUAAGCCUGUGAAGGUGGCCUGUGAGGGUUGCUGGAGGUAUCAGAAGUGCGAAUGCUGACAUAAGUAACGAUAAAGCGGGUGAAAAGCCCGCUCGCCGGAAGACCAAGGGUUCCUGUCCAACGUUAAUCGGGGCAGGGUGAGUCGACCCCUAAGGCGAGGCCGAAAGGCGUAGUCGAUGGGAAACAGGUUAAUAUUCCUGUACUUGGUGUUACUGCGAAGGGGGGACGGAGAAGGCUAUGUUGGCCGGGCGACGGUUGUCCCGGUUUAAGCGUGUAGGCUGGUUUUCCAGGCAAAUCCGGAAAACCAAGGCUGAGGCGUGAUGACGAGGCACUACGGUGCUGAAGCGACAAAUGCCCUGCUUCCAGGAAAAGCCUCUAAGCAUCAGGUAACAUCAAAUCGUACCCCAAACCGACACAGGUGGUCAGGUAGAGAAUACCAAGGCGCUUGAGAGAACUCGGGUGAAGGAACUAGGCAAAAUGGUGCCGUAACUUCGGGAGAAGGCACGCUGAUAUGUAGGUGAAGCGACUUGCUCGUGGAGCUGAAAUCAGUCGAAGAUACCAGCUGGCUGCAACUGUUUAUUAAAAACACAGCACUGUGCAAACACGAAAGUGGACGUAUACGGUGUGACGCCUGCCCGGUGCCGGAAGGUUAAUUGAUGGGGUUAGCGGUAACGCGAAGCUCUUGAUCGAAGCCCCGGUAAACGGCGGCCGUAACUAUAACGGUCCUAAGGUAGCGAAAUUCCUUGUCGGGUAAGUUCCGACCUGCACGAAUGGCGUAAUGAUGGCCAGGCUGUCUCCACCCGAGACUCAGUGAAAUUGAACUCGCUGUGAAGAUGCAGUGUACCCGCGGCAAGACGGAAAGACCCCGUGAACCUUUACUAUAGCUUGACACUGAACAUUGAGCCUUGAUGUGUAGGAUAGGUGGGAGGCUUUGAAGUGUGGACGCCAGUCUGCAUGGAGCCGACCUUGAAAUACCACCCUUUAAUGUUUGAUGUUCUAACGUUGGCCCGUAAUCCGGGUUGCGGACAGUGUCUGGUGGGUAGUUUGACUGGGGCGGUCUCCUCCUAAAGAGUAACGGAGGAGCACGAAGGUUGGCUAAUCCUGGUCGGACAUCAGGAGGUUAGUGCAAUGGCAUAAGCCAGCUUGACUGCGAGCGUGACGGCGCGAGCAGGUGCGAAAGCAGGUCAUAGUGAUCCGGUGGUUCUGAAUGGAAGGGCCAUCGCUCAACGGAUAAAAGGUACUCCGGGGAUAACAGGCUGAUACCGCCCAAGAGUUCAUAUCGACGGCGGUGUUUGGCACCUCGAUGUCGGCUCAUCACAUCCUGGGGCUGAAGUAGGUCCCAAGGGUAUGGCUGUUCGCCAUUUAAAGUGGUACGCGAGCUGGGUUUAGAACGUCGUGAGACAGUUCGGUCCCUAUCUGCCGUGGGCGCUGGAGAACUGAGGGGGGCUGCUCCUAGUACGAGAGGACCGGAGUGGACGCAUCACUGGUGUUCGGGUUGUCAUGCCAAUGGCACUGCCCGGUAGCUAAAUGCGGAAGAGAUAAGUGCUGAAAGCAUCUAAGCACGAAACUUGCCCCGAGAUGAGUUCUCCCUGACCCUUUAAGGGUCCUGAAGGAACGUUGAAGACGACGACGUUGAUAGGCCGGGUGUGUAAGCGCAGCGAUGCGUUGAGCUAACCGGUACUAAUGAACCGUGAGGCUUAACC
rnacentral:rRNA from 1 species